CAUCGUAAAAUAAGAAUUUGUUAUUAACUGACUUGCCUAGUUAAAUAAAAGGUUAAAUAAAAUUGAGAACUACUCCUUUGUUCAUGAUUUUAAAUUAAAAUGAACAUAGCUCUACACCACAGUGAUAGAAAUAUGAGUAUUCUGCACUUUCUAUGCCAAAGAUCCAUUAAAUCAUAUAUGUUUUGCCCCACGGCGCCUCCCUGUGGUGUGGAGGUAAUUUCAGGGCCAUAAAAACACACCUUCACAACAUGAUGAUUAAAACAGGCAUUUAUGGUCUCCUUAAGAAACCAGCACAGAAAAACACUUCAGCGAUGACCUUUAUUAUAGCGAAAGAUGAUGACAUGAGACAUUACAAUAACCCAUCACCGAACAGUCAUUCAGGUAGGUAAACAGUCACUCAGGUGGGUAAACAGUCAUUCAGGGAUGUAAACAGUCAUUCAGGUGGGUAAACAGUCAUUCAGGUAUGUAAACAGUCAUUCAGGGAUGUAAACAGUCAUUCAGGUAGGUAAACAGUCAUUCAGGUAGGUAAACAGUCAUUCAGGUAGGUAAACAGUCAUUCAGGUAGGUAAACAGUCAUUCAGGUAGGUAAACAGUCAUUCAGGUGGGUAAACAGUCAUUCAGGUGGGUAAACAGUCAUUCAGAGAUGUAAACAGUCAUUCAGGUAGGUAAACAGUCAUUCAGGUGGGUAACAGUCAUUCAGGUAUGUAAACAGUCAUUCAGGUAUGUAAAAAGUCAUUCAGGUAGGUAAACAGUCAUUCAGGUAUGUAAACAGUCAUUCAGGUAUGUAAACAGUCAUUCAGGUAUGUAAACAGUCAUUCAGGUAUGUAAACAGUCAUUCAGGUAGGUAAACAGUCAUUCAGGUGGGUAACAGUCAUUCAGGUGGGUAAACAGUCAUUCAGGUAUGUAAACAGUCAUUCAGGUAGGUAAACAGUCAUUCAGGUAUGUAAACAGUCAUUCAGGUAUGUAAACAGUCAUUCAGGUGGGUAAACAGUCAUUCAGGUAUGUAAACAGUCAUUCAGGUGGGUAAACAGUCAUUCAGGUGGGUAAACAGUCAUUCAGGUAGGUAAACAGUCAUUCAGGUAUGUAAACAGUCAUUCAGGUAUGUAAACAGUCAUUCAGGUAGGUAAACAGUCAUUCAGGUAUGUAAACAGUCAUUCAGGUAUGUAAACAGUCAUUCAGGUAUGUAAACAGUCAUUCAGGUGGGUAAACAGUCAUUCAGGUAUGUAAACAGUCAUUCAGGUAUGUAAACAGUCAUUCAGGUAGGUAAACAGUCAUUCAGGUGGGUAAACAGUCAUUCAGGUGGGUAAACAGUCAUUCAGGUAUGUAAACAGUCAUGCAGGUGGGUAAACAGUCAUUCAAAGACGUAAACAGUCAUUCAGGUAUGUAAACAGUCAUUCAGGUAUGUAAACAGUCAUUCAGGUGGGUAAACAGUCAUUCAGAGACGUAAACAGUCAUUCAGGUAUGUAAACAGUCAUUCAGGUAUGUAAACAGUCAUUCAGGUGGGUAAACAGUCAUUCAGGUAGGUAAACAGUCAUUCAGGUAUGUAAACAGUCAUUCAGGUGGGUAAACAGUCAUUCAGGUAUGUAAACAGUCAUUCAGGUGGGUAAACAGUCAUUCAGGUGGGUAAACAGUCAUUCAGAUAUGUAAACAGUCAUUCAGGUGGGUAAACAGUCAUUCAGAGACGUAAACAGUCAUUCAGGUAUGUAGACAGUCAUUCAGGUAGGUAACAGUCAUUUAGGUAGGUAACAGUCAUUCAGGUAGGUAACAGUCAUUCAGGUAGGUAACAGUCAUUCAGGUAUGUAAGAUGGACUAAAGGCUUCUAAACUUUAGCAUCAGUAUUGUGUCCAUAAACAAAGAAGAUUCAAUGACUUCUCAAGCCAUGAUGCAGUGUAAUUGCAGUACAGAACUCUGAAUGACAUCUUAUUUUAAUGUUCCUCUUGCGAAACAACAGUUUUAAUGUCGUUGUGAAACCCUGUGAAAUAUGUCUGGAGGGCUCUAACUAACUACAGUGCUUUAUGUGCUCGGCUCUCAGCCAAGUUAUUUAAUGACCUUUUUCUCGUGGAAACGAUAGGCGAUAGGUCCCCACUUGUCCAAACGUUCCUUGUUUUACUGCCCUUGUGAAGACUUCUGGAUCAACUGAAGGGCUAGCGCUUAAGGUUAAGGUUUAGGGGUUAAGGUUAGGGUUAGGGGUUAAGGUUAGGGUUAAGGUUAGGGUUAGGGGUUAAGGUUAG